CAUGAAGUAAAGAGAAGGAGAAAAUUCUACAGCAACUAAUCCCACAUCUAACUGACCUAGAGAAGUGGGAUAUUCCUAAAGAAUAGAUAAAAUGCAACCAUUUCCCAAACAAAUAGGGAUUAUUAACAAAUUGUUAAACAAAGAAUAAAUAUUUAACACCCUCUCUUAAACUGAAUGCCAUUCAAGCAAUCAGUUUAUAUAAGAAAUUGAGCAAACUCCAAGUAGGGCGUGCAACUUCACAAAGGCUUCUUGCUUCAAUGGUUUGGUUAAUAUAUCAGCUAUCUGAUCUGCACUUUGACAAUGAACCAACUCAACAACUCUAUCUUUAGUAAGGUCACGAAGAAAAUGAAACCUGACAUUUAUGUGUUUGCUUCUUCCAUGCAUAACUGGAUUUUUGGAAAGCUUAAUUGCUGAAUUAUUAUCACAGUAAAUCAAUGUAGGCCUUGACUGAUUGCAAUAUAGUUGUUCAAGUAUUCUUCUUAGCCAAACUACUUGACAAGCACAAGAUAUAGCUGCAACAAAUUCAGCUUCAGUUGUGGAUAAAGUGACUAUCUGCUAUUUUUUCGAAGACCAAGAAAUGGCUCUUGAGCUUAGUAUAAAAACAUGACCAGAUGUGCUUUUCGUAUCUUAUAUAUCCCCAGCAUAAUCACUAUCACUGAAACCAACUAAUUUCGCAUUUUCAACCCUUCUAUAAAACAAACCAAAGUCAGUUGUACCUUUCAAAUAUCGAAGCACCCGUUUUGCAGCUUGAAGAUGUAUUUCAGUUGGAACUUCCAUGAAUCUGCUGAUAAGACUAAUAACAUACAUCAUGUCUGGUCGAGUGGCUAAUAAGUACAUUACGCUGCCAACAAUCUGCUUGUAAUAUGUAUUAUUAACUCUUACUGCAUUAACAUCUCUAGUAAGUCUACAACCUGGAGUAAUUGGAUUUAGAGCUAGAUUGCAAUUAGUCAUCUGAAAUCUAUCCUAAAUUUCAAGAGCGUACUUCCUUUGUCCUAUAAAAAUCCCAAAAGAUAAUUGGAUUACCCCAAUACCAAGAAAAUAUCGCAUCUUUCCCAGAUCAAUCAUGUCAAAUUCAUCCAUCAUAGAUCUUUUGAACUUAGCAAACAUAACUUUAUCAUUUCCAGUAAAUAUCAAAUCAUCUACAUAAAUACAAACAAUAAAAAACUUACCUCCUUUUCCAGAUUUAACAAACAAUGUGUGCUCAUAGGGACAUUUUUGGAAACCCAACUUUGAAAAAUAUGCAUCUAUACAACUGUACCAGGCUCAGGAUGGUUGUUUUAAUCCAUAUAGAGCCUUUUUUAGCUUAUAAACCUUCUGCUCUUUUCCUUUUUGCACAUACCCUGGUGGCUGAUGAAUAAAGACUUGUUCAUUUAACUCACCAUGCAAGAAUGCUACAACCGUGCUUUAUACUUAUCACCUUCUCCUUUCUCAUUCAAUUCGGUUUUGUAAACCCAUUUAACUCCAAUAGUCUUUUCACUGGCUGGAAGAUCAAUAAAUUCCGAAGUGUCAUUUUUUUCAAUUGCUUCUAUUUCUAUGUCCAUAUCUUUCUUCCACUUUAUAUUCUUUACAGCAUCAUAAAAAAUGAUGGGAUCAUUAUCUGUAAAUAAUGCAAGACGAGCAAUAGUAUCAUCAUCAGAUAGUUCAUUUCCACUUACAUAAUCAGUCAUUCAAGAGGGUCUUUUUCUAGCUCGUUGAUUAUAUGAGUUUAAUGGUUGAUCCUCAAUUGACUCACUUGGUUGACCAUUCAGCAAAGUAUUUCCAGUAGCUUGUACUUCGACAUCAAUUUGACUUUCUUCAUUAGCAUCUAAAUCAAUAGGGACAGAAUUAUUUUUAGUAUUUUCUGCACUAUUCCAAUCCCAAUUACUGUCCUCAUCAAACACAACAUCGUUAGUAAUGAUGAUCUUUUGAUUUACUGGAUUAUACAACCUGUGGGCCUUGGAAACUUCACUAACACCAAGAAAUACGCAUUUCAUACCUUUGUCAUCAAGUUUACUUCUCUUCUCAUUAGGUACAUGCGCAUAAGCUAAACAUCCGAAAAUUCUAAAAUGAUCAAUAGAAGGCUUAUGUCCACUCCAUGCUUCUUCAGGUGUCAUGUUCUUUACAGCAAAUGUGGGGCUUCUAUUCAAAACAUAGACACUCCAACUUACAGCUUCCAGCCAAAUUUUUUUUGGGAUGUUUCUUUUUGCCAACAUGCAACGAACCAUAUUCAUAAUAGUGUGGUUCUCUCUCCGACACCCCAUUCUGAUGUGGUGAAUAAGCUGUAGUAAGUUGCCUUCGAAUUCCUUGCGAUUCACAAUAAUUAGUGAAUUCAUGGGAAUUGAACUCACUUUCACGAUCAGUGCGCAAAGUCUUAAUAGAUUUUCCAGAUUCUUUUCUAACCUAUGCUUGAAAUCUUCUAAAUGCCA
rnacentral:lncRNA from 1 species